GCAAAAACCGGGUCGGGGGUGGAGUGAGAACGGAGGUUGAAAGCGUAAAUAGGAAGUCUUGGUCGUAAAGCGGUCGCAGGAGGCUUAUUAAGUUAGAUGUGAAAUCCCUAGGCUCAACCGAGGAACUUCAUUUGAAACUAAUAAACUAGAGUAUCGUAGAGGGAGGUAGAAUUCCAGGUGUAGCGGUGAAAUGCGUAGAUAUCUGGAGGAAUACCAGUGGCGAAGGCGACCUCCUGGACGAAAACUGACGCUCAAGCACGAAAGCAUGGGGAGCAAACAGGAUUAGAUACCCGGGUAGUC
rnacentral:rRNA from 1 species